CUGCAAGCCAACUUUAUUAUUUCAUCAAAUUCAUCAACUGAAAAUAACAAUGUAAAAUAGGUUUAAAUACUGGAAAAUACUGCAAACCUAGGGCCAAGCCCAAUACACAAGUCCAUAAAAUUAAAAUAACCUAAAUCCAACUAAAAUAAUUAAAAAUGCUAAAAUAAUUAAAACUGGAUGUCCUCAUCAAUUCUCCCGGGGUGGGAGAGAAAACUCGACCCUGUCGAGUGGCUAUAUCACCAUAGGCAUCCGUCAAUCUCCCAACCAUAGGCUGAGUGGCUAGGCAAGCUUCUUCCGGCGUCUGUAGAAAUGCGUCAGUGGCGGUCUGAACCUGGUAUCCUCAUCAACUCCUCUCGGGUGGACGGGAGGUGAUCUGGGCCAAUGAAGAUCCUGCUGACUCCGAUAAAACUCUAACAAAUCUGGAUCCAAUUGCUGUAGUGUCUCCCUGGAGAUCCAUGCACAGUCACAAUCUGGUCGACCAACCCAACGAACAAGGAAGCGCUGAACCUCUCCAUCAGUAGUGAACACAGUUUCUUCAUCUAAAAUAGCAUCAAUUUUUUCUUUGUGUACUGUGAGAGGUGGUAGUGGGUUAGAAGGGGUCAAAGAAUCAGGGUCAAGGUCCACAAUAGGAGAAGACAUGGGAUCAUCUGAGAGAAUGAAAUGGCCUUUAUAAGCUACAAGGUCCUCAACAUUAAAAGUAGAGUGGUAACCAAGGUGUGGUGGAAGGUCAACAAGAUAUGCAUUUGGACUAACCUGCUUUAAAAUUUUAAAAGGACCAGCACUAUGAGCUUGCAAUUUAGAGGCGGGUCCAGGUAGACGUCGCUCUGGCCUAAUGCGAACCAUAACGUAAUCCCCAAUGUUAAACUCAAUAUAUCGUUUGUGUAAAUCAGCUUGGAGUUUAUAUGUUGCAUUAAUCUCAAUAUGCAAGUCACGAAGAUGUUGUACAAAUGUUUCAGCUGAUACUGACACUCUAGCCUGUGGGGACAUAGGGAUGAGAUCUAACGGUUUCCUAGGCUUGUACCCAUGAACGGCUUCAAAUGGACUCAUACCUAGUGAACGAUUUAUAGAGCUAUUGUACGCAAUUUGAGCUACAGGAAGGAUCAAAUCCCAAUUUCGAAAGUUUUCCCGAACCAGAUAAUGUAAUAGGUUACCAAGUUUUCGAUUAACUACUUCAGUUUGACCAUCAGUUUGAGGGUGGUAGGCCAUAGAAAAUUUCAAUUUGGUACCCAUCUUGUGCCACAAAGUCCUCCAAAAAUGGCUAGUGAAACGAACGUCCCUAUUAGACACGAUGGUCUUGGGAAGCCCAUACAAUUUGACAAUUUCAUUAAAGAAUAACAGGGCAACCUUGGACGCAUCCGACGUCUUGCUACAGGGGAUAAAAUGAGCCAUCUUUGAGAAGCGAUCGACAACCACAAAAAUGGAGUCAUGCUUCUUUGGGGUGCGUGGAAGGCCUAACACAAAAUCCAUACUAAUAUCUUGCCAAGGACAAUUAGGGACAGGGAGAGGGGUGUAUAGACAUGUGUUCUGCUUCUUCUGCUUACUCAAUUGACAAGUGUUACAAGUACUAACAAUUUUAGCCACGUCUUUCUUCAAGCGAGGCCAAUAGAAUUGACGUUCAACUUCCUCUAUGGUCUUAUCACGUCCAAAAUGACCGGCUAACCCUCCCGCAUGAAUUUCCCACACGAUGAAAUCACGCACUGAAGUUCGAGGGAUGCACA
rnacentral:lncRNA from 1 species